AUUCAUGUGGAGGUAAGAGUGGAAGCAGGUGUGAGAGGGUCCAGCAGAAGAAAACAUGGCUGCCAAAGUGUUUGAGUCCAUUGGCAAGUUUGGCCUGGCCUUAGCUGUUGCAGGAGGCGUGGUGAACUCGGCCUUAUAUAAUGUGGAUGCUGGGCACAGAGCUGUCAUCUUUGACUGAUUCCGUGGAGUACAAGACAUUGUGGUAGGGGAAGGGACUCACUUUCUCAUCCCAUGGGUACAGAAACCAAUUAUCUUUGACUGCCAUUCUCGGCCACGUAAUGUGCCAGUCAUCACUGGUAGCAAAGAUUUACAGAAUGUCAACAUCACUCUGUGCAUCCUCUUCCGGCCCGUUGCUAGCCAGCUGCCUCGCAUCUUCACUAGUAUCGGAGAGGACUAUGAUGAGCGCGUGCUGCCGUCCAUCACCACCGACAUCCUCAAGUCAGUGGUGGCUUGCUUUGAUGCUGGAGAACUAAUCACCUAGAGAGAGCUGGUCUCCAGGCAGGUGAGCGAUGACCUUACGGAGCGAGCAGCCACCUUUGGGCUUAUCCUGGACGAUGUGUCCUUGACACAUCUGACCUUCGGGAAGGAGUUCACAGAAGCAGUGGAAGCCAAACAGGUGGCUCAGCAGGAAGCAGAGAGAGCCAGAUUUGUGGUGGAAAAGGCUGAGCAGCAGAAAUAGGCGGCUAUCAUCUCUGCUGAGGGCGACUCCAAGGCAGCUGAGCUGAUUGCCAACUCACUGGCCACCGCAGGGGACGGCCUGAUUGAGCUGCGCAAGCUGGAAGCUGCGGAGGACAUUGUGUACCAACUGUCACGCUCUCGGAACAUCACCUACCUGCUGGCGGGGCAGUCCGUGCUCCUCCAGCUGCCCCAGUGAGGGCCCACCCUACCUGCACCUCCACAGGCCGACUGGGCCACAGCCCGUGAUUCUUGACACCGCCUUCCUUCUGCCCCCACCCCAGAAAUCACUGUGAAAUUUCAUAAUUGGCUUAAAGUGAAGGAAAUAAAGGUAAAAUC